rnacentral:misc_RNA from 1 species
UACAGAGGGUGCGAGCGUUAAUCGGAGUUACUGGGCGUAAAGGGUGCGUAGGAGGCUAUGUAAGUUGGAUGUGAAAUACCUGGGCUUAACCUGGGGGCUGCAUUCAAAACUGCAUGGCUAGAGUAAGGUAGAGGGAAGUGGAAUUUCCGGUGUAGCGGUGAAAUGCGUAGAUAUCGGAAGGAACACCAGUGGCGAAGGCGGCUUCCUGGACCUAUACUGACUCUGAGGCACGAAAGCGUGGGGAUCAAACAGG